rnacentral:rRNA from 1 species
UACGGAGGGUGCUAACGUUGCUCGGAAUUACUGGGCGUAAAGGGAGCGCAGGCGGAUUUGUAAGUCAGGCGUGAAAGCCCAAGGCUCAACCUUGGACGUGCGCUUGAAACUGCGAAUCUAGAGUGCAGCAGAGAGAAGCGGAAUUCCUGGUGUAGCGGUGAAAUGCGUUGAUAUCAGGAGGAACACCUGUAGCGAAGGCGGCUUCUUGGGCUGUUACUGACGCUCAUGCUCGAAAGCGUCGGGGAUCAAACAGG